rnacentral:rRNA from 1 species
AGAGUUUGAUCCUGGCUCAGAGUGAACGCUGGCGGCAGGCCUAAUACAUGCAAGUCGAACGGCAGCACAGCAGAGCUUGCUCUGUGGGUGGCGAGUGGCGGACGGGUGAGGAAUACGUGGGAAUCUGCCCAGUCGUGGGGGAUAACGUAGGGAAACUUACGCUAAUACCGCAUGCGCCCUUCGGGGGAAAGCCGGGGACCUUCGGGCCUGGCGCGAUUGGAUGAGCCCACGUCGGAUUAGCUAGUUGGCGGGGUAAAGGCCCACCAAGGCGACGAUCCGUAGCUGGUCUGAGAGGAUGAUCAGCCACACUGGAACUGAGACACGGUCCAGACUCCUACGGGAGGCAGCAGUAGGGAAUAUUGGACAAUGGGCGCAAGCCUGAUCCAGCCAUGCCGCGUGAGUGAAGAAGGCCCUCGGGUUGUAAUGCUCUUUUGUCCGGAAAGAAAAGCGCCGGGUUAAUACCCUGGUGUCCUGACGGUACCGGAAGAAUAAGCACCGGCUAACUUCGUG